rnacentral:tRNA from 1 species
GCCGAGGUAGCUCAGUUGGUAGAGCGCUUCCCUGAAGAGGAAUAGGUCACCAGUUCGACCCUGGUCCUCGGCA